CCCUUAGAUGUUCUGGGCCGCACGCGUGCUAUACUGAACGGUUCAAUGGGUAAGGUAGUGCGAAAGCAUGACCUAAUCUCGAAAUCCGUUCGUGCUGGGGAUAGAAGCUUGCAAUUAUCCUUCUUGAACGAGGAAUACCUUGUAAGCGUGAGUCAUCAUCUCACGCUGAAUACGUCCCUGCCCUUUGUACACACCGCCCGUCGCUCCUACCGAUUGAGUGUUCCGGUGAGGCUUUGGGAGAAUGGCCUCAACAUGAGUUUAUCGUGUUUUGCCGUUUGAACUUAGUCAAACCUUAUCACUUAGAGGAAGGAGAAGUCGUAACA
rnacentral:rRNA from 1 species